UGUAUUCUUCAAUUCGGGACUUAAUCAGCGUAUCUAGACAACCAGGUAAUUAUCGUACGAUCGAUCGAUCGAUCGAUUACUUACCGAAAAGGAGGGGGCAAAAACGUAAUCUAAUGAUUCACGUUACUUACAAUUAGAGAAAAAAAUAACUCGUUCAACAGUGUUGCGAGCGAACGCGAUGCGUCAAUAGCGGUUGGGCGGAAAGGGGAAUGAGGAAAAGGGAGGAGUAAAACGACGCGUUUGUUGGCGCGAACGAGUACAUAAUUGCUAUCAAUUAAUUGUAUAAUGAAUCGCGCUGUCCUUGCUCCGGACACGACGAGAUUACGGAUUACCAAAACCUUGACCCUUUAAUUGAUUCGUGAUUGUGUAAAUAUUACGCAACAUCGUCGCCCGUGGUAUUUACCUCUAUAGCCUUCGACAAGGGCCAACUCGUUGGACAAACACCAACCGGACUUCGUCUAACACGACUUUUCCAUCGUCCGGUAAUUCAUUCGCGCGACCGAAUUUCCGAUAGAAAGGAAAAUAAACGAAUGCCAACAAUUGUAUUUUCUUUUUUAAAUUAGCGAAGAAUCCAUUUUAUUUGUAUGUUUCAUCUAACGCGUACAUCCUCGCAUACGAGAUAAUCGUAUGAGCAUGGAAAACACGAUAUAUACCGGUACUAUAGAACGGUGACGAUUAGAUUAACUUGCUCUAAAACGCGCAUAAGAAUUAUCUAUCGAUUUCACCGAACACCACAUCCAGGGUACCGAUGAUGGCCACGACAUCGGCAAGCAUACAGGAUGGACCUAUGUGACGGAGAGCAGCCAGGUGAGCGAAACCAGGUGCUUUGAUCUUGCAUCUGUAAGGUUUGCUGGUACCGUCGCUCACGAGGUAAACGCCAAAUUCACCCUUCGGCGCCUCGAUCGCGGUGUACGUACAACCAGGCGGCACC